AUGAGACAUAGCCAUAUGCAGUAAACAAACUAACAAAUGUUGAACUUCAAACUCAAUGAUGGACAAGAGAGUUCAAAAUGGCAAAAUUUGAAAAUAAAUGUUCUCUUUAAUAAACAAAUUAAUCUAUUUUUAGAAAAAAGAAAGAAAGAAAGAAAUGAAGUUAAUAACUUUGUAAGAAACCCUAUAAGGAACAUAAGAUUCUGUUUAAUGGAGGAACAAGCUUAAACACCAGCAUGUGUGAAUGUAGUCAAAAGCGCAAAAGCUCAGCAACAAAUAGGAAAGCACUUGUACGUAUGCUAAGCAAAGCGCAUUUAAUGAAGCCCAGGUUUUUUGAGCUUAAAGUGAAAAAAUGCGCA
rnacentral:misc_RNA from 1 species